CUGUGCUGAGCCCAAGGGAGGCAUUCAACACAUGUCAGCUCUCUCCACAGUAUGAAAAGCAGAAGUCAGUGAUGUGUCAAAGGACCUGGAGUGUGAGAUUUCUGUAUCAAGGGGGAAAUGUCUCUCUCCUGCCAGAGAAAAAUCUUCUGUCCUUCACCAACUCCACCCAGAGACUGUAUGAAAGGAUAUAAAGUUAUUCUCUCCAGAGAGACUAAGAUGUACUAAGAGAGCUGGAAUUUUGACAAGAAAAGAAAAUUUCUGAGCAAUGUACUCUUUGAAGGACCUUAUAGAUGAGAGCACCUUAUAGCAAGGACUUCUGUACUUCAGUAACUAACACUGCCUGGAUGAGCAACGGGACAGACAUUUCAUUUACAAAUUCCACCAUUGGGAAUUGUGCUACAGUGAGGUGCACUGGCAGAUGGUAUCUAAAUACUUAUUCUGACUGGUUUUGCUCUUAGAGGAUCGCUUUAGAUGGCACUGUGAUUCAAUAAACCACUGGGAUACAGCAUUAACUCUCAGUGUGUUAGAACUUGAAUAUCCAUUCAUAUUACAAUCAGGGGAUUCAAAUGAUAGAUUGUUUCUGGAUCAGAGUUUCUCCAGUCAAGAAUAUUUUUAUCUGAUGAGAAUGACUAUUUUGACUUUGAGAUAUAAAACCCAUAGAGAUACUAAUUCAAAUACAUUUAAUCUGAUCUCCAUGCAUUCCGACACUUCACUGCUACAUCCUAGCUAUUCUUUAUAGGGAAAAACUUAUUGUACUGCCAAAAACACCCCCUGCCAUCUCGAAUGACAAGAGCAUUCAUGCAUUUUCAUGAGCUCAUUUCAGGACAGGAAAGCAAGUUCCACAAUUCCCAAUAAACACAUUAAGAUACUAAAAUGUUCUAAAUGCAUGCUGUAAUUAAAGGACCAACCACCACAAUCCUAUAUAUAAUGACCAAUAAUAGGAAAUAAUAAACUCAAAUGUCUAGGAGUUAAUAAAAUUGUGAAUGGAUUCUCCU